GAAGCAUUCUUCCAAGAUUAAGUUUAUGUUACCUCAAGGGAUUUUAAAUGUCUUGAGCUACACCUGGAAGGAGCUCACUGAAGGUGCUUGGCAGCAUAAAAAGUCUGAGCGUGAGCCAACAUACAAAAAUGUAAAAUCAGCAGGACUGCAAACGUCAGAGGAGGCCAACAGAUUGUCACCUGUAUCUGAAACAAAUGGGUUUGAACUGGCUGAAACAAUGAAAAGCAGAAGAAAUGCUGAUAUCUCCACUAGUGUUGCAAAGGGAACAGAGAAUUCUGGGACCCUGUUGAACAGACUUCCUGGUGAAAAAAAUGAACCCUCUCAAGAUAUCAGGGAUUCACCUUUCGCAAUCAGUUUCUCAUUGUCAUCAAAAGUGUGCCAGGACAGUGGAUGGGUUUCUCAGUGCACUAAUUGUGACUCUGAAGACCUGGAAUGGAAAACACCAUAUGUCUGGGCUGUGAAGAGGCUACAACUGGCUAAGAUACAAAUAACUAAACAGCUUGCCCAACAGAAGGCAUCAGGAUUUGACAAGCCNGUUAUUCUCCGUCAUUAUGGUGAUGUCACAAAAGAAACCUUUGCAAAAAACACCAAAGNGAGUCCCACUAAAAAAGGUUCUUCAGAGGUUCCGUAUGAAAAAUCUAAAAUGCCAGAGAUCAAAAAACCUGAACCAGCCUCUAGAAAGCUUCACUACAGCUUGAUUGAUGGGUCAUCCUUGAUUUUAUAUCCUUUGACAGUGCAAAGACUUCCAUGACAAGUAAGGUUUUUGCAACAAGGCUAAAAGUAAAGAUUCAAAACUAUUUUAUUUGGGCUACAACCCUAAACACCUACCUAGGGCCCAUUUAGUUCAGUCUUCACAGUGGUCAGCCAGAUAGCUCUCUCUACUCACAUUCUCCAGCAAUUUUUAAAAAUCAUUAGUGUUAUUGGAAUAUGAUACACAGCUCUUAUGACUGCUAGUCAUUAGUAGCCCUGACAGCCACAAAUUUGUCUAAUUCUUCCUUUAAAGCCAUCCAUUACCAGGAAGAAAGCUUCAUAGAUCAUAUGAGUAUUUGGAGCACUUCAGAAGAUCAAGUUGUAAGCACUUCUGUUUCCGUGUGCUUAACUAUCAGAAUGCCAGAUAAUGAUCCUGC
rnacentral:lncRNA from 1 species